UACGGGAGGCAGCAGUAGGGAAUAUUCCACAAUGAGCGAAAGCUUGAUGGAGCGACACAGCGUGCACGAUGAAGGUCUUCGGAUUGUAAAGUGCUGUUAUAAGGGAAGAACAUUUGCAAUAGGAAAUGAUUGCAGACUGACGGUACCUUGUCAGAAAGCGAUGGCUAACUAUGUGCCAGCAGCCGCGGUAAUACAUAGGUCGCAAGCGUUAUCCGGAAUUAUUGGGCGUAAAGCGUUCGUAGGCUGUUUGUUAAGUCUGGAGUUAAAUCCCGGGGCUCAACCCCGGCUCGCUUUGGAUACUAGCAAACUAGAGUUAGAUAGAGGUAAGCGGAAUUCCAUGUGAAGCGGUGAAAUGCGUAGAUAUAUGGAAGAACACCAAAGGCGAAGGCAGCUUACUGGGUCUAUACUGACGCUGAGGGACGAAAGCGUGGGGAGCAAACAGGAUUAGAUACCCUGGUAGUCCACGCCGUAAACGAUGAUCAUUAGUCGGUGGAGAAUCACUGACGCAGCUAACGCAUUAAAUGAUCCGCCUGAGUAG
rnacentral:rRNA from 1 species